CCUACGGGUGGCAGCAGUGAGGAAUAUUGGUCAAUGGACGAGAGUCUGAACCAGCCAAGUAGCGUGAAGGAUGACUGCCCUAUGGGUUGUAAACUUCUUUUAUAUGGGAAUAAAAUGUUCCACGUGUGGGAUUUUGUAUGUACCAUAUGAAUAAGGAUCGGCUAACUCCGUGCCAGCAGCCGCGGUAAUACGGAGGAUCCGAGCGUUAUCCGGAUUUAUUGGGUUUAAAGGGAGCGUAGGUGGAUUGUUAAGUCAGUUGUGAAAGUUUGCGGCUCAACCGUAAAAUUGCAGUUGAAACUGGCAGUCUUGAGUACAGUAGAGGUGGGCGGAAUUCGUGGUGUAGCGGUGAAAUGCGUAGAUAUCACGAAGAACUCCGAUUGCGAAGGCAGUUCACUGGACUGCAACUGACGCUGAGGCUCGAAAGUGUGGGUAUCAAACAGGAUUAGAUACCCGGGUAGUC
rnacentral:rRNA from 1 species